rnacentral:misc_RNA from 1 species
UCUCCGUAGGUGAACCUGCGGAGGGAUCAUUACUGAGUGAGGGGCUCCGGCCCCAGACCUCUAACCCAUUGUUAUCCGACACUGUUGCCUCGGGGGCAACCCGGCCUUCGGGCGUCGGGGCCCCCGGCGGACCCCCCAACGCUGCAUCUUUGCGUCCGAGUCUGAUUUGAAUCAAUCAAAACUUUCAACAACGGAUCUCUUGGUUCUGGCAUCGAUGAAGAACGCAGC